rnacentral:lncRNA from 1 species
GAAAAGUUUGGGUAGAAAAAUAAACUGUCACUAAAGUAGCUCUAAAAAAAAUAAAGAUUUUUAAACUCUUGCUCUUCUUUCUAGAUGCUGCCAUGACUAGCUCCAUCGAGAAUUUUUAAAAAUUAAAAUUUCAUGUGGAUUUAACUUUAGUUUUAUACACAUAUUGUUCAAAACUUUUAAGUAGUGAAGGCAUUAAUAAAGACGUGUGUUUUGAUUGUGCUUACAUGAAUUCACCUGCAUUUGGAGUGCUAUAAUAAACCGUAUUUUUAUAGGGUUUAUUAUAAGAAAAAUACUUAACAAUGAGUUUUCUUCCACAGUUUACUCAUUUAAUACAUUCUAGUUGACUUAAUAUUUUUAAUUGAAAUGAUAAAAUUUGCCAUUACCCAUGCCAUAAUGUUAGGAUAUUGUUGUAUUUGUUUUCUUCAGAUACUCCUCAUUCACUCCUGAUGUACUUAGAGGGCAGGAACCGUGUCAUCCUGUUUGAGAUAUAAUACUACAUGUGACACUAUAUACUGCUGGACUCUCAGCAGUGCUAUUUUAUGGUGGAAAUUCAAAUUAUCACAGCAAUGAAAAUUGUCAUAUAAAAGUGGUUUUGCAGAAAGAUUGUACAUGCUUCCUCCUACAUGCCUGAUACCUCCAUUGAGAUAUAUUCAUCUGUGCUACAGAGAUAUUAACCAAGAUAACUUCCAUGACUAGUUGUGGGUAAUAAUCAAUGAUAAACUUUUCAUUAAACCAGUUGGAAUCUUCUAUGUGAUAGAAGAUGAUUAAUGAUUCCUACAGCAAAAUUAUAGGUGGAUAUUGGAUGCCCCAGGUGUCCACUGGUGGAUGUCCAAAGUGCCAGAGAAUGAAAGAAUUGAAAAAGAAAUGUGAAGAUUCUGAAAUGUGAAGACCAAAAGAAC